UACGUAGGUGGCAAGCGUUGUCCGGAAUUAUUGGGCGUAAAGCGCGCGCAGGCGGUCCUUUAAGUCUGAUGUGAAAGCCCACGGCUCAACCGUGGAGGGUCAUUGGAAACUGGGGGACUUGAGUGCAGGAGAGAAGAGUGGAAUUCCACGUGUAGCGGUGAAAUGCGUAGAGAUGUGGAGGAACACCAGUGGCGAAGGCGACUCUUUGGCCUGUAACUGACGCUGAGGCGCGAAAGCUAGGGGAGCAAACAGG
rnacentral:rRNA from 1 species